GCCGCGGGCCCUCCCCGCCGGGGGACGGCGCUUUCCCGACACCGGCGCGGCCCGGUCUCGCCUGCCCGCGCCGGGGCACCGGCGCUUCCCGCUCCCCUCGCAGCCCGCCGGCGUCCGCGGACGCGGAGCUGCCUGCCGGCGCCCCCAUGAGUAGCCCCGCGGGCAGCCCCGCGAAUCCCACGGGAAGGGCGCCGGUGGAGGCCUGCUCGUUGUGCUCCUUCAAGGACGGCUUGAGGGCUUGGAGUCUGCCGUCAUUUUCUUCCGUAUUUACCCUUUUUUUUUUUCACCCACGUCUAACUUGUCUGGAAACUUCGGGUUUUGCCCCCAGAAUUUUAUAUGCAGUCAAGUGAGCAAAGCUGGGUGCCAGCAGGCUCCGUUUUGCUGGGUUUGUUUUUGUGCGUUGUUAGGGACUAGGUCAGCGGGCUGUGGCAAAAGAAAAACAUCCAGUGACAGAAGUACCUGGUGCCGAUGCAGGUGCCACGUUCAAACUACUACUUCCAGAAAGCUCAGAGCUCUGAAGACAGUGCAGGCAGUGGCCCCAGACCAGCCAGAGCCCCAAAUUCAUUCCCUUGGGGUGAAGGCACCCGCCAUCUUAGAGGUAUCUGCCAUCUUGGGGUACCCGCCAUCUUAGAGGUAUCUGCCAUCUUGGACUUACCGCCAUCUUAGAGGGAAAAGCGGAAAGAGCUGUGUAGCAGUGAAGCCUUGAAGCAUGGAAUUGGUUGGGCUCUGCAUACGCACUUCAGGAAACCUGCACAAGAACAGCCAGGUCAAGGUCUUCAGAACUUCUGCUUUCAUUGGCUGUACAGAGGAGAUCUUGAAUUAUACCCUGCUUGGAUACCAGUCACCUUGUGCCACUGAAAUCAAUGGGAGUUUUGCCCAUAAGAGCCCAAGUUGCUGAAUGCUGAAGAGACUGCCAGCAGAUAUUUCCAUGUAAUUCAUUUUCUUUUACCCUUUUAUUGAAACUCCCAGCGUGAUGCAAAAGAUCAAGUAAUGGCUGUCUCAGAUUAUUCUAUUCUCCUGUGGAAAUUGCACUUACCUUCUGUGUAAAGAUAUCUCCACAGGCAGGCCCUCCAGGAAAUAGACGGAAGAUUUCAUGUGCUGUUUUUUCAGAUUACCCAGGAUUUAAUUAUUUUGGAUGAAUUUAGAUUUCAAUUUCUCCCUGUGUUGUUAUGCUCAUAUGGAGCUCUUUCGAAGAUACAGACAGACACAACAGCUGCUAACCCAGCUCAUUUCCAAAGAAGUGUUACCAACUAAGGCAUGUUGGUCUAGUAUUUUGGAGGAUUUUUUUGAAUUAUUAUUUUUGUAUGUCUUCUGAAUUAAGAUGUUUUGCUGUAUCCAGUUUUAUAUAAAUGGCUCAUAUUCUCUGAUACUCUGUUUCAUAUCUGACAAACAAUCAUGAUUAUAUGUUAAAUCAACAUUAAAAAUGUAUAGUUCAGUGUAAUUCACAGCUGAAGGUAGCAUUAGAAUACAGUGUACACGUGUAUUUUUAUUAUUAUUUACUCACAGAAAAUUGCGGUUUUAUGGAGGAGAAAACUGUCAAUAUAUUUGUGUCAAAAACUUGUGGCAAGUAAGAAUAUAUAUUGAAGGAACUGAUAUAUUUUGUUUCAGCUCUUUCAAAAUGAAACCCUUUAAUUUUUUUAA